AGAAGAGGUCGAGGGAAUGUUGUGGGCUGGGGCACACCAGCACGGCAGAAACUGGAGAAAGCGAGAGACGUCGCCAGGGACCCAGGGACCUCUCCCUCCAGUUCCCCGGGCCCGCCCGGCCCUGAUGGCCACUCACGCUAUAGCGCCCACUCUGUCCUGGGCCAUCCCGCGCCAGCAGUGUAGCCCCCAGCCCGGGCGCCUGAAUGCUCUCCCUCCGGAUCGCUGCUCGGGUCCCCACUUUGGCGACCGUGCCCCCGAGUCCUGCUUCCCCGGGGCCUGCUCUGUAUCAGGCGCCUGCGCCUUCAAGGGUACCCGGCCCGCCUGCCCUCCCCAAGAGCCGAGUUUGCGCUCCUCCCGGAAUCGUUUGAGAGAAGGACAAACUUUUGGCAGGAUGGAAAUCUAGAUGAGCCUGUCCGGAGCAGGAUCAUAUCCUUUCCCUUCACAUCCAGAGAAGAGAAGAGGAUCCAUAAGGGGGCAUUCCCAGCUCCUUGAUGGUUUGCUGUGUGACUGUCCAAAAAUGUCUCUACAUCUCUGUUUUUCUGGCACCAUAAGCUGAAGUUGGUUCCUAAAGAUGGUUCCCAGGUCAUGGGAGGAAUAGGACAGGGAAUUCCAGAACCAAAUUUCUGUCUAAGAAAGAAACAAUUAUCUAAGAAAUUGUGAGUGGAAUUGGACUGAACGUGGAUGAGUCAGGGCUCUUGAAAAAGAAAGUGGCCGUCCCUCUUUGAGUCAGUUCUGCAAGAGUGGACAGAAACUUUUCCAGACUCCCAGGCCUCUCUGCUCCCUCAGAGCUUGAAAAGAUUAAAGUCAUUCCUCCUCAAGGUCUUCAGUGAAACCCUGGAAAUCUUUCCUUCAAUUUUAAGAGAUUACAGUUCUUCCCAUUGUCUAGCCUCUGUCACUACUUGCUGUAGCAUGAGGUGGCUUCCCUGGGGGAAAGUGUACCAGUCCCGCUCAUUGGUCGUCUAAGACCUCCCAGCAUUCCUCAAGACAUUUCUGCCUCAUGAUGUCAGAAGAAGGGCUGUCAAAUAGAUUUUAAAACCCCAGGCUCGGCCAGGCACAGUGGCUCACGCUUGUAAUCCCAGCACUUUGCGGGAAUCACGAGAGCAGAAGAUCGAGACCAUCCUGGCUAACACGAUGAAACCCCAUCUCUAAUAAAAAUACAAAAAAUUAACUGGGCAUCCUGGCAGACGCCUGUAGUCCCAGCUACUCGGGAGGCUGUGGCAGGAGAAUGGCGUGAACCCGGGGAGGCAGAGCUUGCGGUGAGCAGAGAUCACACAACUGCACUCCAGCCUGGGCAACAGAGCGAGACUCCAUCUCAAAAAAAAAAAAAAAAGACUUGGCUCCUCACUUGUAUUGUGGGAAUCCCAGCCUAAAUUGGACAUGUGGAUGUUGAGCAAUAGAGGACAGACAAACAAAGGAAUCUCCAGACCCUGCAGGACCCAAGGCAGCAGCCCACGAGUGGAUCCUAAAGGAUUUUCAUCAGCUGCAAGUCUGGACCACAAGUUUGGAGGUGGUCAACAGAACAGGGAAGGUGGUCAGAAAAGUGACUUUUUGGCUACAGAAAGUUAUUUGUGUUCCUCUCUGCCACCCUGCCCUCGUGCCUUCAGCUGUCCCUUCUCCCAGUGCCAGAGGAGGCUUGGAUUGAGCACCCAUGCUCUAUGGACAACAGCAAGUUGAGCAGACCUUAACAUCAUUCCCGGGGAGGCAACGGGUCAUCUGCUGGCUGGGGUUAUCAAAGGCCCCAUCUCCUACUCCUCUCCCAUGCCCCACAGUGAAGAGCCCCAGAGCUGGCUGUGGUUAUGAAGCCGGCUGCCAUGUGGGCGACCUGGAGUCAGAGCACGGGGCAGUCACAUAUGACAAUUGGUUGAAAUAUCACAGCCACUCUCCCCCCACCCCCACUGGUGAUCUAUGGGCUGCGUGCCCUGUAAAAAUUAUUUAUCGGGGCCUCAGAGUGUCCUGAUUUAGUGCCGCUGCCUCUGGGGCCUUGGGGCCUGCCUGUCCACCAGAGUCUAAGCGUUAAACGACGCUAAAAAGUUAAACAGCCAACGCUGGGGGCUCACUCGAGGAGGCACCAUAAAGCUGUCGGAGCUGCUUAAAUCAGGAGCGAGGAUUCCCUGGGACGUCUUCUCUCCAUACGCCGCAAGCCAAGAAGGCUCUCCUUACCCCUCUGCCACUCACCCAUACCCAGAAGCCCACAGAGGGCAGGGGACACGUGGGCCGGGGGCCUGGAACAGAGCCCAAAAGGAGGCCACGGAUGACCUCCUCUGCAGGGCUUUCUCCAGCAGAACAGGGGCCGUGGCUCAAGAGGGUAGGGGUCAUGUUGUCCAGCUCACCAACUCUGGGCAGGGGUCUCCUUGUUCCGGUCCAGUUUUUAAAGACUUCCAACAAAAGGCACUGCCAAAGUCUCUCCCAGGGGCCCCUGGGGAGAAGUUGUUUCCCAAGUCUGUCUCACUUCAAUCCACGCUUCUGUGUGUUGAAUCCACUGGAACUCAGUGUCUUCCCACUCAGGUUUGGAGAGGCUGUGCUGGCCACACCAGCCUGUGACUUCUUGCCUCCUUUCACCCCUCCACACCCACUUGCAUGGCUCUCUGAGGAACAGAGCCCCACCCUUCCAUCACCACCCUCCGCCAACGCACCCCUGGGUGCUGGCAUAACACGCAAGCUUCACAGAUGGCUUUUCUCAGCUGAAGCCCAGUCCCUGCUGCCACCACCCGGCCGCCGAGCAAGAGGGAAGGUGGGUCUCUGCAUGCUGCCUAUCACACCUUCUUUCAGCAGCAAUAAAACUCACUCUUAAA
ensembl:lncRNA LINC02381 long intergenic non-protein coding RNA 2381